UUACAUAAAAUCGAUCAAGGGAGAAUCCGAAAUUCUUAAGAUGCCACAAAGUCGGUCUUCUUCAAUUCGUUGGUUGUCCCAAAGUGUAGCUAGAGUGAGUGGUUAAUCAUGUAAAGCAAAAUCUCCAUCAAAAAUAUGCUAAAUGUCGUGGUCCCUGUAUGUUUGUAUGUAUAUAGCUUUCUUUCUUGUUACUUGAAAAUAUAUCAUGUAAUUUGACAAUCAACCUUGCUUUCGGGCAAGCAUUGCCGCAAGUUCAAAUGUGUGGCAUAUCAAUGAAUGAAGGAGAAUUUCUCUACAGGUCCAUAUUUUGUCAUUACAAACCACUCAUUAAAAGAUGCCUCUCUCUCUAUAUAUAAUAUAUAUAUGGUCCAUAUAUGGUAUACUAGGUCCAUAUAUAAGAUUGGCACUAAUAGUUGCAAAAACCGACCAAGUGUGAUUGCUAAUUUGGUGUAUAUAUCUUGUCUAAUAUUCCUUUCCUCCUACCCCAAUAAAAAUCUAAGUUCAAAAAUGAGCUGAUGCUUGGUAAGGCCUGUGCUGUAUAUCAACCCAACUUUAACCUUCCUCCACACGAGUAGUAAAUGUUCUGUUUUCAGUGGAUUUUUUGGGCCUACUUCACUUUCCAAUAGUUACUGAAGAAUAUAUACAGUCGUAAGAAUACAUACUGAUAUUUGAGUUUGAUCAACUUAUUGUUUCAUCUUAUGCAGAUAAUCAAUCGACAGCAACCUUUCUGCAAAAUCCUAAAGGACUACAAAAUGUGAUUCUAGCUAGUCUAGCUAUGGAGAAAAAUCAAAGAGCAGCAGAGACUAUUGACAAUUCGGAAUCAUUUUAUACCAUGCACUUCUACAAAGUGAAGGCUACUGUUCAUGCAUUGUACUUUUACAACCUUUACGUCACUUUCAUUCCCACUUUCAGCUCAAGAAUAUAUAUAUAUAUAUAUAUAUAUAUAUAUAUAUGGGUUCCGUCCACAGAAACCGGUUGUUGUGGAGCAACCCAUUUUUAAGCCUUGUGUCAAUUUUUUUUUUACUCCAACCGCUACAACACAAGGCUAAAAAAGAGGUUGUUCCACAGCAACCGAUUGCUGUGGAUGGAACCUAUAUAUAUAUAUAUAUAUAUAUAUGAAUCUUCAUCCGUAUCAACCCGGUUGCCAUGACAACCAUAAUCUUAAUUGUUGAUCCUCAUAAUAAAAAGGUUGAAAUUAAAAGCAAUAUAUAUGUUGUUUUUAGAUAUUAGUAUUUGAAUAUGUGUAUGCCAUAAAUUGAUGCACUUAAUUUGG
rnacentral:lncRNA from 1 species